rnacentral:rRNA from 1 species
AGCGAACGCUGGAGGCGUGCCUAAUACAUGCAAGUCGAACGGAGUGGCGCACGGGUGAGUAAUGUAUAGCUAAUCUGCCCUACACUAGAGGACAACAGUUGGAAACGGCUGCUAAUACUCUAUAGUGUAGGAUGAGGCUAUAUUGUAUCAGCUAGUUGGUGAGGUAAUGGCUCGCCAAGGCUAUGACGGAAAACUGGUCUGAGAGGAUGAUCAGUCACACUGGAACUGAGACACCGUCCAGACUCAUACGGGAGGCAGCAGGAGGGAACAUUGCUAAAUGGGGGAAACCCUGAGGCAGCAACGAUGCGUGGAGGAUGACACUUUUCGGAGCGUAAACUCCUUUUGGUAGGGAAGCGGUACCUAACGAAUAAGCGCCGGCUAACUCCGUGCCAGCAGCCGCGGUAAUUC